GUGAACGCUGGCGGUAGACCUAACACAUGCAAGUCGAACGGCAGCACAGUAAGAGCUUGCUCUUACGGGUGGCGAGUGGCGGACGGGUGAGGAAUACAUCGGAAUCUACUUUUUCGUGGGGGAUAACGUAGGGAAACUUACGCUAAUACCGCAUACGACCUACGGGUGAAAGCAGGGGAUCUUCGGACCUUGCGCGAUUGAAUGAGCCGAUGUCGGAUUAGCUAGUUGGCGGGGUAAAGGCCCACCAAGGCGACGAUCCGUAGCUGGUCUGAGAGGAUGAUCAGCCACACUGGAACUGGGACACGGUCCAGACUCCUACGGGAGGCAGCAGUGGGGAAUAUUGGACAAUGGGCGCAAGCCUGAUCCAGCCAUACCGCGUGGGUGAAGAAGGCCUUCGGGUUGUAAAGCCCUUUUGUUGGGAAAGAAAAGCAGCAGGUUAAUACCCCGCUGUUCUGACGGUACCCAAAGAAUAAGCACCGGCUAACUUCGUG
rnacentral:rRNA from 1 species